AGGCAGUCCUCGAGGGCUGCCCUACCCGGAGCUGCCGACAGCAGGGCACCGGCUUCCCGUGGUUUGGGGUGGCAGGUCUUGGAAGUUUCCCCACAGAGGUGUAGAACAGUUUCCACCUCUCCAUUCCAGUGGCUGAAACCCACUACUGUAGAGGCAAGGAGGGAAGGAAGGAAAUCCCAGACUGGAGCAGCUCCGAUCUGCUUUCUCUGUGUCAAGCACACUCUAGGACAGGUUGAUGCCAGCUGCACGUCUAAGGUAUAGCCAUCACUCUAUUGUAUUUCCAACGAGGAGCAAACACAUGGAGAGAUGGAAAUCGGAUGAGUAGAGAAGAGUCUGAUGUGGCAGAGGACAUUCAGGGACCUACUUAUUUCCAGUCCCAUGCUAGCAUUCCAUGAAGAAGCUCUGCUGCCCAGCGGCGGAUUCCUAUCCCUUAACUUCUAUGAUCCAAGUCUGCUCCACAACCAGCUUUUUCAUAAUUCCUGUUAAUCCAGCAUAUUUUGGGGAGUUUUAAGGCACAGUUUUUGCUUGUUUGCUUUGGGCUUGGAGCACAUGCAGUUUACUCAUGUGCUCUGGCAAGAGCCCGGAGUUGCGCGUGAUCCCGAGCUAAGCAAAGCACGGCUGUGUCUGCAGUGCCUGUCCUGGGGACAAGAGCAAGUGCAAGGAGCCUCUCUGGCAGGAGUACAUGAGCCUGAUAUGUGAUAGCCUUCAACAACUGUGAAAGAAGGAUUGAUGGACUUGCCAUAAUUCACAGAAUGGGGGAGCUUGGGCAGGAGAAGGACUUGAGCUUCUAGGAACAGGCAAGCAAAGUGCUCCAUCACGGGCAAGGCAAGCCAGCCACACCAGGCACUCCUGCCCUGCCACAGGCACGAGCCCCCAGCGCUCAUCAGAGUAACAGGCAAAAGUUGCCUCACUUCCAGCUUCACUGCUAGACUGGUCCUUACAAAACUAGCCAAUGUGCUUGCCCCUGAAAUUGAAGAGAGGCAGAGGGUUUUACAAGUCCUUCCCUCCACUCCUACACCAUAACUGACAGCAAAUAGUGUGAACACCUCUUACACAUGAGACUUUUAAAGCCCCAUAGCUGCUCUAGCUCCCUACCCUAUUGUUCCAGUGCCUUUGCAGAUUUUAUAUGAAACCCCAGAAAACAGAUAGAAAAAUCCUUUCUUCCCCUUUUACUAAUCCAAGUUGCUAACUUAAAAAAAAAAAAAAAAA